rnacentral:rRNA from 1 species
UACGUAGGGUGCGAGCGUUAAUCGGAAUUACUGGGCGUAAAGUGUGCGCAGGCGGCAGAGCAAGUCGAGUGUGAAAGCCCCGGGCUUAACUCGGGAAUUGCGCUCGAAACUACUUUGCUGGAGUGUGGCAGAGGAAGGUGGAAUUCCACGUGUAGCGGUGAAAUGCGUAGAGAUGUGGAGGAACACCAAUGGCGAAGGCAGCCUUCUGGGCCAACACUGACGCUCAUGCACGAAAGCGUGGGGAGCAAACAGG